CUCUCUAAGGAGCAGGGGGCUCUGGGGGAAUCCCACUAUAUGGAAGACGCUGGUUCUGAUUGAUUUGAAUAUCUUGGUCAGACAGCUUCAGAAUCACUCACCUGUCUUCAUGUCAUCUUUUCGUAGCUCUGUUCUCCAGGGUGACUCUGACAGCAUCUCCAGGAGCCACAGUGAAGGAGGGAGAGGCUCUUAACCUGACCUGUGAGGCAGCAGUGAACAAAACCCCCCGCCCUGAACUCCACUACACCAUUGUGAGAGACGGGGAGCCUGUGACUAACAGCACUGACUCUGCACUGUACAGCAUAGCCAGCACUGAGAAGAGCCACACUGGGAGCUACACGUGUGCUGUGGAGUCACAGGGAGUGAAGAAGAGCAGCCAGGAGCUACACAUUGAACUGCAAACGUCCUGGCACAGCGCUGUUGCUAUUGGCUACAGAGUGAGCUUCACUCUGAUUCAUUUCAUUGUGUUCACUCUGCUGCUCCUUCAAUACUGCAGGAUCCAAGGUUCCCUGUGUCUCGCUGGUGGUAAGUCAAGGUAAGUCAGUAUUAUCCAGUAUGUGUACAGACAGGGG